GAAGGAACAAAAAAGAGAAUGAUUAAAACAAACAGAAGAAAAAAAAAAGAAAAAGGAAAAAGGAGAAAAAUGAUGUGGGAAAGUUGUGACAGAUGGAUCACGUCGGUGCAGGAUGUCAACCCCGGUACCACAGUCAUGGCCUUCCCUCCCUCCUUUUUUUUUUUUUCCUUUUUCUUCUUUUCUCCUCAUAAUUAAACAAAAUUUAGUCCUGACCUUCCCUACCUUGUCAGACUUAGGAAAAAACAAAAGAGAAAGUUUUAAUUUUUUUUUGUUAUAUUGGUGUUGUUUGAAGUUUUGGGAAUGGUCCAUUUUGUUUUUUAAGGGAAAACUUAAUAGUUUUAAGGGUGUGUACCACAUGUUGAAGGCGUGUGUCCAUUUUUCGGGAUACUUUCCGGACAAACUUAUUAUGUCGUACAUGAAGGUUGCGGGAUUUGGAAUAGCGGCAUU